AUGCCUACACCCGUCUCUUGGGUGUGCUCCAUAUCUCCUGAGUACUAUCCACCGGUUCCUGCACUACAUCUCCCAUCAGAGGUUUUUGUACGGUGGUUCAAUGAGUUUGUAUCACUGUGGUGGACUUUUGGUGGAGGAACCAGACUGGAUGUUAACUUGGGUCAAGUCCGUCCCACCCUGACGGUGCUGCCCCCCUCUAGUGAGGAGAUAAAGAAGGGCCAUGCCACACUUACAUGUCUGGCCAACAAGGGCUUCCCCUCAGACUGGAGUCUGUCCUGGAAGGUGGACGGCAGCAGCAGCAGCAGCUAUGAGGAGAGCAGGAGCCCCGGGGUGCUGCAGAAGGACGGCCACUACAGCUGGAGCAGCACCCUGAGGGUCCCUGCAGACCAGUGGAGGAAGGUGGGCUCUGUGACCUGUGAGGCCACCCAGGGCUCCCAGACUCCACUCUCAGAGACACUGAGGAGAGACCAGUGUUCCCAGUACUGA